AAAUCACCUAGUGGCAUGAGUCACUACACCAGGCCAACUAUCUCUUAAAAUAUGGGCACGCACAGGUGUGGUGGUGGGCGCCUGUAAUCUCAACUACAUGGGAGGCUGAGGCAGGAGAAUCACUUGAGCCCGGGAGGCGGAGGUUGCAGUGAGCCGAGAUCAUGCCAUUGCACUCCAGCCUGGGCGACAGAGUGAGACUCUGUCUCAAAAAAAAAAAAAAAAAAAUGCG
rnacentral:lncRNA from 1 species